rnacentral:rRNA from 1 species
AAUCAACGCCGGCGGCGUGCCUAACACAUGCAAGUCGAACGCGAAAGUCCCGCAAGGGAUUAGUAGAGUGGCAAACGGGUGAGUAACACGUGGGUGACCUGCCUUCGAGUGGGGGAUAACGUCCCGAAAGGGACGCUAAUACCGCAUGACAUCCUGCCUUUGAAGAGGUGGAGCUUAAAGCCGGGGAUCGCAAGACCUGG